rnacentral:lncRNA from 1 species
UCCGUAGUUUCUGCGCUCUAGGUCCGCUACCUGGUGAAACUCGACUUUCAGGACAAGCGCUCCGUGGUUUCUGCGCUUAAGGUCCACUACCUGGUGAACCUUAACUUCCAGGAAAAGCGCUCAGUAGUUUCUAUGCUCCAGGUCCGCUACCCGGUGAAACUCGACUUCCAGGACUAGCGCUCCGUGGUUCCUUGACUCCGGGUACGCUACCUGGUGAAAUUCAUCUUCCUGGACAAGCGCUCCGUAGUUUCUGCGCUCUAGGUCCGCUACCUGGUGAAACUCGACUUUCAGGACAAGCGCUCCGUAGUUUCUGGUCAGCGGUGGUUGAAGGUGGUUGCGGGUGAUCGAGGCGAACGAGGAUUUGUGCGCGGUAUAACCCGAGGUGGUUAGCUGUGGUCGUUGGAGGUGGUUAUCGGUGGUUGGAGAUGGUCGAAGGUGGUUAGAGGUGGUUGUGGGUGAUUGUGCGGGACAAGGAGGAAGACAAGGAGGAGAAGGACGAGGAUUUAUGCAUGGUAUAACCCGAGGUGGUCCGCGGUGGUCGCUGGAGGUGGUCGGAGGCGGUAAGAAGUGUUUGCGGCUGAUCGAGGGCGACGAGAAGGACGGGGGUCGUCAAAGGUGAUUGAAGGUAGUGCGAUGGUGGUGAGGUGUUGGGGUGGUGUAGUCAUGGGUUGUUGGGGUGUUGGGGUAGUGGAGUGAUGGGGUGGUGAUGGGGGCAAACUGCUCCUACUUCUACGUUAACUCCAACUCCUACUCCAACUUCCACUACUCCAACUUCUUCAUCUACUACUACUCCUACUCUAACUCCUACUCCUACUCCUACUUCUGAUCCUACUCCUACUCCUACUCCUGAUCCCACUCCUAUUCCUACUCCUAAUUCUGAAUAUUGAUGUUAUGAAAUAUAUAGACUGCAUGUCAAAUUGAAUCCCAUAUCGAAACAAACAAUUCUGUUAUUGUCAUAUUAUAGCCGAUUAUUGUAAAUAAUCUAGUACGUUUCCUAGAAAAUUAUAAAAUUUAUAGUAUGCAUCAUGUAUUAAUAAUAAAUAA